CGACCACACAAUUAAAUACAAAAUAUUGUAGAUUGUGUAAAUAUACUUGCAAAAUGAACCGGGCAUAUGGAAUACAUUUAGCGAUAUUAAGAGUCGAUAUAUAAAACGAGUCCUCGACAAUUCAAACUAUCGAAAAAGAAUCAGUUUCAGUUCGAUGAUAAGAUAUUGUCGGAUUACAUUAAAUAUUGUUAAUACUCGAGAAUAAUAAGUUCGAAGGUCGACAUUUAUUUGGAGAGACAACACAACAAAAACUAAUGGAAGAAACCGAAUUUACGACGCGAAAAACAUUGGCUUGGAAUACACUUCCGAAUCGUAAAUCCGUAAAUUGAACGGUUGAUCUGUUGAGGAUAUUUGUUUAUAAACGGGAGGAUGAGGACAGUUUCGUUAGCGGCCAAAGUUUAAUAAUUAGAACGCAGCUUCUGUACGUCAUCAAAAAAAAAAAGCAAAAAAAAACAAAUAAGCAGAAGAAUGCCAACUCUCCAGAGCUUAUUUUGAAAAGUGAAUAAAAUUUGAAUAUAUUUCUCUAAUCCA